AGUGAGCGCUGGCGGUAGGCCUAACACAUGCAAGUCGAACGGCAGCACAGUAAGAGCUUGCUCUUACGGGUGGCGAGUGGCGGACGGGUGAGGAAUACAUCGGAAUCUACUUUUUCGUGGGGGAUAACGUAGGGAAACUUACGCUAAUACCGCAUACGACCUACGGGUGAAAGCAGGGGAUCUUCGGACCUUGCGCGAAUGAAUGAGCCGAUGUCGGAUUAGCUAGUUGGCGGGGUAAAGGCCCACCAAGGCGACGAUCCGUAGCUGGUCUGAGAGGAUGAUCAGCCACACUGGAACUGAGACACGGUCCAGACUCCUACGGGAGGCAGCAGUGGGGAAUAUUGGACAAUGGGCGCAAGCCUGAUCCAGCCAUACCGCGUGGGUGAAGAAGGCCUUCGGGUUGUAAAGCCCUUUUGUUGGGAAAGAAAAGCAGCAGGUUAAUACCCCGCUGUUCUGACGGUACCCAAAGAAUAAGCACCGGCUAACUUCGUG
rnacentral:rRNA from 1 species